rnacentral:rRNA from 1 species
CCUACGGGAGGCAGCAGUGAGGAAUAUUGGUCAAUGGACGAGAGUCUGAACCAGCCAAGUAGCGUGAAGGAUGCAUGCCCUCUGGGUUGUAAACUUCUUUUAUAUGGGAGUAAACUGUUCCACGUGUGGGAUUUUGUAUGUACCAUAUGAAUAAGGAUCGGCUAACUCCGUGCCAGCAGCCGCGGUAAUCCGGAGGAGCCGAGCGUUAUCCGGAUUUAUUGGGUUUAAAGGGCGCGUAGGUGGAUUGUUAAGUCAGUUGUGAAAGUUUGCGGCUCAACCGUAAAAUUGCAGUUGAAACUGGCAGUCUUGAGUACAGUAGAGGUAGGCGGAAGUCGUGGUGGAGCGGUGAAAUGCUUAGAUAUCACGAAGAACUCCGAUUGCGAAGGCAGCUCACUGGACUGCAACUGACACUGAGGCUCGAAAGUGUGGGUAGCAAACAGGAUUAGAUACCCCGGUAGUC